UACGGAGGCGGCAAGCGUUAUCCGGAAUUAUUGGGCGUAAAGCGUCCGCAGGUGGCACCUCAAGUCUGCUGUCAAAGACCGGGGCUUAACCCCAGAAAGGCAGUGGAAACUGAAGUGCUAGAGUGCAGUAGGGGUAGAGGGAAUUCCCGGUGUAGCGGUGAAAUGCGUAGAGAUCGGGAAGAACAUCGGUGGCGAAAGCGCUCUGCUGGACUGCAACUGACACUCAGGGACGAAAGCUAGGGGAGCGAAUGGG
rnacentral:rRNA from 1 species